GGAGAGGUGUCCGAGUGGCUUAAGGAGCACGAUUGGAAAUCGUGUGUGGAGCUUAUACCUCCACCGAGGGUUCAAAUCCCUCCCUCUCCGCCA
rnacentral:tRNA from 1 species